CUUUUUGAGAUUAUCGUUCUUGGUGGCGGUGGUAUUUCUGUCGUGUUGCUACAUUGUGCGAUGUAAUUUGCAAAGUCCAUGUAAUGCAACGGUAAAUUGUGCAGAUAAUACCACAGUUUGUGAAACUGAUUUCUGUCAUAUACAGGCCGGUCAAAUAUGCACAGAAGAAACUACAACAACCGUCGCAAUAACUUUAACAACACCUGCCCAAACAAUCACAACCACUAGACCAACCCAGCCAGGUGCAACUUCCCAAUCAUCGAAUACUACUGCGGCACCAACAACAACUACGACAACAACAACUACUACAGCAACAACAACUUCUACGACACCUACAACUACUCGCAAGCGAAAAAAGCGCAGUAAUGGCCUACAGCAGUGUGUUUCAAACGCAAGCUGUGUAUCAGGCAAACAAGCCACACUGGUCUGCGCUUAUAAUGAUGGCUAUACUGCAGAUAAUGGAAAGUGCAACAAAGAUCCUGACAACGGCGCAGGACAUUUGAGAAUGACGAAAUUCUUCAUUGUCAUGGUGACGACAGUGCUGCUGUUACUCAUCUAGAAAACCCUUCAGUGCUGCAGUGGUCAAUUGACUUGUCGGACGAUUGUCUGCCGUUUGUAAAUAACUCUAUAUCUUUAGGAUUUGUCGUGGAAAAAAAAUAUUUGUAAAAAAUUAAAUCUAAACCAGUCGUGUACUGUA